GGGGAAUAUUGGGCAAUGGGGGAAACCCUGACCCAGCAACGCCGCGUGAAGGAAGAAGGUUUUCAGAUUGUAAACUUCUGUCGCAGGGGACGAAAUAAAUGACGGUACCCUGUGAGGAAGCCCCGGCUAACUACGUGCCAGCAGCCGCGGUAAUACGUAGGGGGCGAGCGUUGUCCGGAAUUACUGGGCGUAAAGGGUGCGUAGGCGGCUUGACAAGUCAGAUGUGAAAUACCCGGGCUUAACCCGGGGGGUGCAUUUGAAACUGACGAGCUUGAGUGCAGGAGAGGAAAGCGGAAUUCCUAGUGUAGCGGUGAAAUGCAUAGAUAUUAGGAGGAACACCAGUGGCGAAGGCGGCUUUCUGGACUGCAACUGACGUUGAGGCACGAAAGCGUGGGGAGCAAAC
rnacentral:rRNA from 1 species